CUAAGAUUUUGCAGUUAAUUUGCUGACUUCCAUAAACAUGAAAAGAAAGAGAUUUAUUUACAAAUAUUUGGUAAGAUCCUAUGGUUCCAAUGGUAUGUAUCUUUGGUCCCAUGCAUGAAAUACCUCUAUGUACUAUAUAUUACAUACCUCGCAAUGGCAAUGAAAUGUUCUAUAUCAUCUCUCUUUCGGUGGAAGAGAAGAUUACAAUGUUCUAAUUGGACAUAUUUAAAGUUAUAUAAAUCACUUUCUGAUGACACUUCACUCACAUCUUCCAUAGGCUUUCACGCCCCAUGGAUUCACAUAUGAUAUGUCUCCAUCAUGAUUCCUCCCAGCUCUCAGAAGGCUCACAACUGCCUUCCAUCUAGUUGAUAAGAGCAUCUUUCAUAAGACACUCUCUGAGAAACUCAGACAGUGAGCUCCAUCUUGACAGACACCCAACUCUAUUAUUCUUACUCUUUCUUUCCUGCAUCUUUUCAUUUUCAUAAUUAAAACUACACACUUGCAAUGGAAGGAUCUGUUUUUGAAACAUAUUUAUAAGUACAAAGGCACAUAUAGUCCAAGUAUAAAGUAACAUUACAAUAAAUAAUAAUAAUAUUUGUAACACAUGGGCCAUGAGUCAAGAAGGUAACAGUAGUUUACUAUUUGACUGAUACGUAAAUAGAGCUAUGGUACUAAAACAUAAAAAAUAAAUCCAAUUUUUAAAAAUUUAUUUUUCAUGCUCAAAUCACUCAGCUGAGCAUAUGCAUAAAAACUUAUUUGGAUAUUUAUCUUACGGUCUCAAUGACAUUUGAAAAGGUAAUUAACUAAAUAUUAGCAAAUGAAAAUACAUACAGACUAUGAAACCAUCCCUAUAAAAAUUUAAAAAUUAAUCAGGGAAGAAAGGAGAGAAAGAAAUGAAAAUAGGCCAAGGCCGGGCGUGGUGGCUCAUGCCUGUAAUCCCAGCUACUUGGGAGGCUGAGGCAGGAGAAUCACUUGAACCCAGGAGGCAGAGGUUGUAGUGAGCUGAGAUUGCAUCACUGCACUCCAGCCUUGAUAACAGAGCAAGACUCCAUCUCAAAAAAAAGAAAAGAAAAGAAAAGAAAAGAAAAUAGGCCAGGCACAGUAGCUCACGCCUAUAAUCCCAGUACUUUGGGAGGCCAAGGCAGAUCGCUUAAUCUCAGGAGUUCAAGACCAGCCUGGGCAACAUGGCGAAACCACACACCUACAAAAAAUACAAAAAUUAGCUGGGCAUGGUGGUGUGUGCCUAUAUUCCCAGUUACUGGGGAGGCUGACGUGGGAGGAUCGUUUGAGCCCGGGAGGCAGAGACUGUAGCGAGACAAGACUGCGCCACUGCACUCCAGUCUUGGCAACAGAGUGAGACCCUGUCUCAAAAAAAAAAAAAAAAAAAAAAAAAAAAAGACAGAAAGCAGGGAAAAAGAUAAACCAAGCUUGUGGUACAUUCAGUGAUUCAGUGUUAAUCAUUAAGUCAGCUUGCUCUCUGACCGGCUUGACCUGCUUCCUCAUAGUUGUUCGGUACUUAUUGCUUCAAAAUCACACAGACCCUGUUACAAGAUUAUAGUUCCCCUUAACUGCUGUGUAGAUAACAACUUGAACAUUAUAAAACAUUAAGUUUUCCAUUGGAGCUAUUCUUUCAGUGCUGUGUACCAAUGAAACUACUGAUGUCAGCUGGUCUGAAGGAUCCCACAAGAAGCUGACUCACCAAAGAAUGCAGUUUCCACAUCCUGAUGAUUUCAUCCCCCUUGCCCUGGUCAAUCAAUGACUCCAAUUUUCCAGCCCCCUACUCUCCGAGAUCCACUUAAACAUCCCAGCCCAGAACUCCUUGAGGGGAUGGAUUUGAGGGUCUCCUCCCAUCUCUUUGCUUGGUGCCCUGCAAUCAUUAAUGUCUUUCUCUGCUGCAUCCCAGUUGUCUCAGGGUAUUGGUCUGUUACUGUGCAGCAGGCAUACAAACUUGUUGGUCCUAUAACAACUAGACACAAUCAAAAUAAGCCCUUCUUUCUUUGUCUGUUAUAGACACAUUUUUAGGAGAACAGUGAAAGGUUAAUAAACACUUGGAGGAGCGUAGGAAUUGCUGUAGUGUG
rnacentral:lncRNA from 1 species